AUUAUCCUCACCUGCCAUGGGGCUGGGACGUGGCAGCGUAUUAGUUGUCACGUAUGAGAGUAUCUCACCUGGUUUGUCACCCAGGGAAAACACAUUGGGCUCUGUAAAGGGAGUAGAGGUGAUGCUGGGAACAAGCUGUCAGCACCCAUUGACUCCUACUGCCCCUGUGGGCAGAGACUCUCCACGCGGAGCUGGGGCUGAGGCUGACCACUGGGGACACCAGAUACCAAAUCGGCCAGGACACUCUGGUUUGGACAGGGGACCCUGGGGCUGCAUCAGACUGCACUUCACGAGUGACUGGUGAGUGGGGUCUGUCCCUACUUUAAGCAGGCUGCUCCUCAGCAAGGUCC